rnacentral:misc_RNA from 1 species
GUGAAUCAUCGAAUUUUUGAACGCAAAUUGCACUCUCUUCGGAGAGUAUGCCUGUUUGAGGGUCAGCCUAAAAAAAAUCGACAUCGUUGCUGUUUCGCGGUGGCGUUCGUCGGAAAUUGGUUUAUCUUAAAUUUUUGGUUUAAGCGACUUAAAAUUUUCUUUACAUUUCCUUGAACGUUUCAAAGAUUUAUUUUUUUCCCGGUUUAGGGUAUCGAUUUUUUUAGUCUU